rnacentral:tRNA from 1 species
GGCUCGUUGGUCUAGGGGUAUGAUUUCCACUUAGGGUGCGGGAGGUCCCGGGUUCAAAUCCCGGACGAGCCC